CUUCAUAUAUUCCAUUUGUGUUCCAUGUGUUUAAAUAAAUGAACUACAUGGGUCAGAAAAUGGAUAAAGAAAAUUAAGGAGAUAUAUUACUUUAUUUCAUUUUUGUUAUUUUAUUAAUACAUAAAAAAAAUAGUAUAUUUCUUCAACAUCAUUUAA